UAGGCAAUUUAAGUAAAUAUCUUAGCAGGUACAGAAUUUAAUCUCAGGCAAACAAUUGCGCAUAUGGGGGGAUCGUGAAGAUUUUACCCGUGAGUAUGUAGACUCGGAAUGGCAAAGAUAAAACUUGAAUGAUCAGACAUAGAAUGAUAAGGUUGUAUGUCAAAAGGGAAACAGCCCAGAACAAGAGUUAAGGUUCCUAAAUUAUUAGUUAAGUGAAAUGAAGAAUGUAUUUAUUAAAGUCGACAAGGAGAUAGGCUUAGAAGCAGCCACAAUUUAAUGAACUCGUAACAGAGCACUUGUUAAUUUAUAAGUAGCGUCGAUAAUUUAACGGAUCUAAACAAUAUACCGAAACCUUGUCCAUACCAAGUUAUAAAAAUUAUAAUAGUAUGGGGUAGCAGAACGUUGAAUUAAACAUUGACUUUUAUUUUUCAAAUAAAAUUAUUAGUUAAUUCAAGUGAUAAUGGUGACAUGAGUAACUAAAAGAAAUAAAAUUUUCCGCCUAAAGCUUAUGGCUAGAAACACACUUAAGUACGGCCUCUAAGUUUUGAAUCUAAAGAUUAAAACGAUGAGAAAAACUUAUUUAUUUAUAACAACAUUUUAAGUGGAAAAUGUGCUGGAAAAAUAAAUAUAUUAACAUAACCGUACCUAGAGCCUGACACAAGUAAGCAAGUAGAGAAUACGAAGGCGAGAGAGCUAACAAUCAUAAAGGAACUCGGCAAAUUGACUACUGUAACUUCGGGAUAAGGAGAGCUCAUACUU
rnacentral:rRNA from 1 species